AUUAAAGUUGUUGCAGUUAAAAAGCUCGUAGUCGGAUGUCGGGCUCGGGCAGGCUGUCGGCUUCGGUCGGACGGCAGGCUCGGGUCUUUCUGCCUGAGGAUCCCGUUGCACUUAAUUGUGGGGCGUGGGGACGCAGGCCGUUUACUUUGAAAAAAUUAGAGUGUUCAAAGCAGGCCUACGCUUGAAUACAUUAGCAUGGAAUAAUGGAAUAGGACUUUGGUGCUAUUUUGUUGGUUUAUGGGACCGAAGUAAUGAUUAACAGGGACAGUUGGGGCCGUUUAUAUUUCGUUGUCAGAGGUGAAAUUCUUGGAUUUACGAAAGAUAAACUUCUGCGAAAGCAUUCGGCAAGGAUGUUUUCAUUGAUCAAGAACGAAGGUUAGGGGAUCGAAGACGAUCAGAUACCGUCGUAGUCUUAACCAUAAACUAUGCCGACUAGGGAUCAGUGGAUGUCAAUUUGCGACUCCAUUGGCACCUUGUGAGAAAUCAAAGUUUUUGGGUUCCGGGGGGAGUAUGGUCGCAAGGCUGAAACUUAAAGGAAUUG
rnacentral:rRNA from 1 species